rnacentral:rRNA from 1 species
ACUGAACGCUGGCGGCAGGCCUGACACAUGCAAGCCGAGCGGAUGACGGGAGCUUGCUCCUUGAUUCAGCGGCGGACGGGUGAGUAAUACCUAGGAAUCUGCCUGAUAGUGGGGGACAACGUUUCGAAAGGAACGCUAAUACCGCAUACGUCCUACGGGAGAAAGCAGGGGACCUUCGGGCCUUGCGCUAUCAGAUGAGCCUAGGUCGGAUUAGCUAGUUGGUGAGGUAAUGGCUCACCAAGGCGACGAUCCGUAACUGGUCUGAGAGGGUGAUCAGUCACACUGGAGCUGAGACACGGUCCAGACUCCUACGGGAGGCAGCAGUGGGGAAUAUUGGACAAUGGGCGAAAGCCUGAUCCAGCCAUGCCGCGUGUGUGAAGAAGGUCUUCGGAUUGUAAAGCACUUUAAGUUGGGAGGAAGGGCAGUAAGCUAAUACCUUGCUGUUUUGACGUUACCGACAGAAUAAGCACCGGCUAACUCUGUGCCAGCCGCCGCCGUAACAC